CUCGUAGGUGGUUUGUCGCGUUGUUCGUGAAAACUCACAGCUUAACUGUGGGCGUGCGGGCGAUACGGGCAGACUAGAGUACUGCAGGGGAGACUGGAAUUCCUGGUGUAGCGGUGGAAUGCGCAGAUAUCGGGAGGAACACCAGUAGCGAAGGCGGCUCGCUGGGCCGUCCCUGGCGCUGAGACGCGAAAGCUAGGGGAGCGAACA
rnacentral:rRNA from 1 species